UGUGGACGUUUUCAGGUGUGUGCUUUGUCUUCGGGCUUAGUAUCCUGACCGACCAUCAAAACGGUCGAACUGGAACUGGUACGGACUCGGGGAAUCCGACUGUCUAAUUAAAACAGAGGAGACAGAUGGUCCUUGCGGACGUUUACUGUCUCUGAUUUCUGCCCAGUGCUCUGAAUGUUAAAUCGUAGUAAUUCGAGUAAGCGCGGGUAAACGGCGGGAGUAACUAUGACUCUCUUAAGGUAGCCAAAUGCCUCGUCAGCUAACUACUGACGCGCAUGGCCCCCUGCCCUCGAACCUCUUCG
rnacentral:ncRNA from 1 species